GCUGUCAGCACAGAUUGGUGAAAUUACACUUACGUACAGUAUGUGCAGGUCACAUGCCCAGUGUACAGUGAAUAUGAGGGUCAGGGGAGGGGCAGAUAGUGAGAUGACAGAUGCAGAAAUUGUACAUGUGCUGCAUGUACCUUUACUGUAGAUCAAAGCUGCCCAAAGUGGGGCCCAUUGGCCAACAGUGGUCUAGAAUAAUGCAAAAGUGGGCCCACUGGGAAAAAACAAACAAACGAACACCUUGUAAAUAUAUCAAUUAUAAUGCAUAUGAAUCCAUCUAUCCAUUUUAAAUCCGUUCCGCAGAAUUUUCGCUAUAUCGCGGUAUUUUACGGUAUUUUUUUCUUCUCUCUCCUAGGAGAAGCUUAAUUACUCCAAUUGCGCUCACCUACGUCCGGAGCUGCACCUGCGUAACUACUCCCGUGCUCUCUCUCCUUCAGCUCAAACCGCGUCUUUUUAAUUUACGUAAUAUGUAUGUCUUAUAUUUCCAUCAUACAACUCUACUCUGCAUACAAUUGGUUGGAAAAGGGUAAUACAGUCUAGGGAGGGUUGAUAACACUGUGGGGGAGAUUUGUAAAGGGUAAAUAUAUACGUAAAUAAUACAAAAACGAUGGAACGCAACUACCGCGAUAGGAGAGGGAUCACUGUAAUCAGCAUUGAAAGGAACAGUCAGAGUGUUCAUGUUUAUGUGUGUAUUUGAGUGUGUGUGAUGUACAGUAUGAAGAGCAGGAUGGUUGAGUCACUGACUGAUCCGGAGAGCGCCCUCCAGACAAAGAAUACUAUUCUCGACAUUCUGCACUGGGGUAGCGCCGAUAUCACGUUCAGCUCUUCUCUUCCAAAAUGGCAUCUCGUGCAGUUUUAUCUACAUCGUCCGAUGACCAGUGAGUCCGCUGGUGCCAAGGGCUGAGGACAGGGAAGGAAGGCAGGAGGAGGAAGAAGAGAGUGUUUGGAAAAACACACUUAUCACUUUGACUAUCAUUCAUCUUCUGACUGAGGAGCAAACGUUAUAUGAAGCCUCCCUCUCAAAACCCACAAGAGGAGCCAUAAUGUAUUACAUUCAGAGUAGCAGUAUGACCAAACGUGGUGCUGUAAUGUACUGCCUGUACUGUAUGUUUUAUUGAUACUGGAAGAGGAAUAGUUUUUGCGCUGCCUUGAGGAACCUUCACAAAGCAGAUUAUCUUCUCCUUGGCAUGACUGACUUGGUGUUGCUUUCCAGGAGUGUGUGAUUGUAUAUUUGUGCUUUUUCUUAUUGUAUUAUGUUUCACUAGGUGUCAUGCUAAUCUUUCACUCAUCAUGGAGCUUUGCGGGGCAUGCUGGCAGCUUUGUUCGGAAGAUAAACAAGUAGAGGAGAAAAGAUAUACCAACACCGGCAAAUCCUUACUGCAGGCUCAUUCUUCUGUGGAUACUGUACGAGGAGCAUUUCACACGCUCCUGAGAUGGAUGGGACAGCCGAGACUGUCAGGUAACUUUAGGUGGCUCUGCAGCGGCUUGAUUGAAAGAUGAAGAGCAAUUAUUAAAGUGAGAUAAAGAGAAAGCGAAAUGGAGAUCGAUCUAACGAAAAAAGGGAGAGUUGGUGAGGGUGAGAGUGGGUUCAGAUGAGGCGAGAGAGAUGAUGAAAAGAGUAGCCACUCGGUCCUCUGAGAUUCCUUUUCUUCCCCUGCUGCCAAAUUAGCCCAAUUAGUCAGAGUGGCCUCUGUUCAGACUGCUGUCAAACCCUGACACUGUAUAGCAGCGCCAGCGGUCAUUCUCCCUCAUUUAAGUCAGGCUUUUGACUCUCUCCUCUGCCUUCUCUCCUGAGCCACCUGCACAUGUCUCCGCUGAAUAAUUACUGUACUAUGCAUGUGUGAAGUCGAAGCCUCAGUGUGUGUGCGCGUGCGCGCGUGUGUUUGCAAGCUUGAAAGGGAAGACAUUCCUUUAAAAUCAAUGCACCACUUCACCAGCGUGGUGCCCUGUCCUUACAGCUACAGCUUCCAAAACUAGGAGUGUGAGAUAUCUUUUCAUUCCUCAGGUAAAACCCACCAAGAAUCUUUGGGAGCUUAUGGUCGUUGCAACACUUUUAUCUUCAAGCAUCUGAAGAAAGUUUAUACACAGCAAAGGAAGAGAGAGUAGUUAAAAAAAGACUCAGGGGACGGCAUGUGUUUGUGCUGAUUGAGCAGAAAAACUUCACCCGUCCAAAAAUACAAAAUUAUUUUAUAUUAAGAAAAUAAUUUGGAGAAAUCUGGUCUGUUUCACCUUAUGCCUUAGGUCUCCAAAAGGAGGUCUGUGACCCGAGGAGGUCCCUGGAGUUACUGCAGGGAGGCCAUGAAAGUUUUGGUUGAUUUGAGAAUUUUGAAUAUGAGAACGUUUCUGUAUUACACAGAUGUAAAAUAUAAAUAUGAAACCAGGCCAGGUUUGAUAAAAAAUAUAUAUAAACAAUUGAUUAAAAUAUAAAUAAAAAAGGGGUAUUUCUUCCAUUUGAAAUCUGUCAGUGCUAACAAAAAUAAAAAGUUACCUACAAAACCAAUCAUAAAUUGUCAUUAAGACAAAGCGAUGUCAUUUCUAAUCUCUCAAAAAGAAGACAUAAAGAGUGAUAAUCUGCUGUACAAAAGACGAGGUGUGAGACCGAGCUCAUUAACGUUGUUGCUUGAACAAACACACCUUGAGCUACGUGAAUUGUGGAAAGUGAGAGCCGGAGUGCUUGCCUUCUUCUCUUCCAUUUACACCGACUCUGUUGUAUUUCACCGUGGGCCACGUCGUAGUGAAUCCAACAGCAGCUCUGAAUGACUUCCAAGAUAAAAGGAGGACGUCUGUUUGUUUCUGUGAGUGUUUAACGCAGGAUGGUGUCAAGGUUCAGGGUCUUUUUAAUGAAGGACUCUGGACCUUGGCACUUUAACAUUGAAACAACUGGAGGCAUAACACACUUAGGUGCUGCUGUACUGUACACUAAAUCAAUUGAAAUGGAGUAAUUUGUAUCCAUGAAAAUGCUGACACUUGUCUCAUAGCACAAACAAAUAAAUAUGAAAAUUGCCUGUGUUACUAACUUCAAUGAAAAGAGGUUUGAGAGGUUUGUUUGUUGUAGAAAAGGACUCAGAAUUUUUUGUUUUCAGAAGUUGGCUUCAAGUUAGUGAUUUUUUAAAAAAAAACAAUACAAUAAUAACAUACAUAUCAUACAGGAUGGAGGAGUUAUGAAUGUCAAUUCACCAAGUUGAAUCUCCCAGAGCUGCUCGUAGAUAUAGAAAUAAUAAAAACAGUUGAUUCAUUUAACAAUAUUAUGUCUUAAAAGGUGGAUGUUUUUGUGGCCAGUUUUUGGAAAUCGUAGUUACUAAAAUACAGUACCAAGCUAAAUAAGACACUUUUCACUCUUGUUGUCAAACAGAGAUGAAUUCUUCCCAAAUCAAUCUGCUCUGUUCCCAUUUUACUUUGCCAGAAGGGAGCGGGUGAGCCACCUCCAAGGCCCUUCUGGCCACCUCUUAACCCCAGCUCUAGUUUGUGUCAGGCUGCUGCAGGAGCUGC